AUUUAAUCAAUUGUGAGUCACAGUCACAAUUUUUAGAUCACAUAUUAUAAAUUAACUAAUUAUUAGUUACAAUCAACCAAAUAAUUGAUCACAAACAUCCAACAUUAUCUCAUCCCACCCACAACCACCACAACAAUCGUCACUAUCACCAAUACCACCACCAGACCUCGCAAGACUACAAUCGCCGCCAAAACACCAACAAAACUGUCAUCGCCAUCGCCAUCGCCAUCUUAUCUACAUCACGAUUAGCACCGUCGCAUAUACUAAGAAUCAAACCACCAUCUCCAUCUCCACCACAUCACCACCAAAAAAAUCCCCAAACUCAACGUCGUCGCCGCCACACCACCACCAAAAAAACCCCCCAAACUCGGUGUCGUCGCGUCGCUACCAUCACCACCACUGCCUAUUUCAACAAUCGCCCACACAACCACCUUCAAUCAACCAUUUCCUUCACCUCUACCAAAAAACAACCAGCACCAACAACGUCAUCACCACCAAAGUGUAUUGUAAACACCACCACCACAACUGCACACGACCAACAAACCUCAACCCAAAAUUUUCGGCACCAGAUCGCGAUAAGAUCUUGACCAAAAUUUCCCCAAAUCGCAACCAACAAAAUUUACACACCCAGUAAAACUCAAUACAUAGGAGUUCCUGAUAGCAUGGGUGCAGCUUGUGAGCAGUGUGGUGUUGGUUCGAGAAGCGCGCAGCGACUAACGAAGGCCGCUUUGCGUGACCGUGGCGCGAAGCGCUAUCAUCGUUGACAAAUAUAGAAUGGAGGAGAGAGAGCAGAGGCGGUGGUGGCACACAACGACGAUGAUGGGUACCGAUUGCUCGCGGCUAUGUCGCCGACAAAGAGAAAGUGGAGAAUGGGAUGCGGGAGAUGGGAGGGAGACGGAGAAGAGGAUGAAAAUUUUAGGUUAAUUAAUUUAAUUUUAUAAUAUUAAAAGAUUGAUGAUUAUUUGAUUUUUGAAAAAAAAAAAUCUUUACAUCUGUAUUGUGAAUUGUGCAUCUUAAAAUACUGGGUAGGUGUACUUUCCUGUAAAGUAAAAUUGAGUGUAAAUUAAUAUUUUUAAAUCA
rnacentral:lncRNA from 1 species